UACGUAGGUGACAAGCGUUGUCCGGAUUUACUGGGCGUAAAGAGCGCGCAGGCGGUCGUUCAAGUCGAGUGUGAAAGCCCCCGGCUCAACUGGGGAGGGUCAUUCGAUACUGAUCGACUCGAAGGCAGGAGAGGGUAGUGGAAUUCCCGGUGUAGUGGUGAAAUGCAUAGAUAUCGGGAGGAACACCAGUGGCGAAGGCGACUACCUGGCCUGUUCUUGACGCUGAGGCGCGAAAGCUAGGGGAGCAAACGGG
rnacentral:rRNA from 1 species